AGAGUUUGAUCAUGGCUCAGGAUGAACGCUGGCGGCGUGCUUAACACAUGCAAGUCGAACGAAGCAUUUUGGAUGAAGUCUUCGGACGGAUUUUGGGAUGACUUAGUGGCGGACGGGUGAGUAACGCGUGGGCAACCUGCCCCGUACCGGGGGACAACAGCUGGAAACGGCUGCUAAUACCGCAUAAGCUUUCGUGACCGCAUGGUGCGGGAGGAAAACUCCGGUGGUAUGGGAUGGGCCCGCGUUGGAUUAGGCAGUUGGCGGGGUAACGGCCCACCAAACCGACGAUCCAUAGCCGGCCUGAGAGGGCGACCGGCCACAUUGGGACUGAGACACGGCCCAAACUCCUACGGGAGGCAGCAGUGGGGAAUAUUGCACAAUAGGGGGAACCCUGAUGCAGCGACGCCGCGUGAGCGAAGAAGUAUUUCGGUAUGUAAAGCUCUAUCAGCAGGGAAGAAAAUGACGGUACCUGACUAAGAAGCCCCGGCUAAAUACGUGCCAGCAGCCGCGGUAAUACGUAUGGGGCAAGCGUUAUCCGGAAUUACUGGGUGUAAAGGGAGCGUAGACGGGUAUGCAAGUCUGAUGUGAAAGGCCGCGGCUCAACUGUGGGACUGCAUUGGAAACUGUAUGCCUUGAGUGCCGGAGAGGUAAGCGGAAUUCCUGGUGUAGCGGUGAAAUGCGUAGAUAUCAGGAGGAACACCGGUGGCGAAGGCGGCUUACUGGACGGUAACUGACGUUGAGGCUCGAAAGCGUGGGGAGCAAACAGGAUUAGAUACCCUGGUAGUCCCACGCGGUAAACG
rnacentral:rRNA from 1 species